UAUGUUUUUUUUUUUUUUUUUUCAGUUUAGCCACCAAUUUAGUCAAUUUUGUUUCUGGAGUUUUGUCGGGUUAUUUGUAUACGCACCUCCUGGCUUGAACAUAUUAUAAAACUCCCUUGUUUAGUUAAUACAACAUAGAAAUUUACUAGGUAUAUCAAGCCUAUGUCAAUGAAAACACUCCACAAGAAAAAGAACAAUAGAAUGAUCCUACCAUUGCAAAUGAUAUCUUUACUUUCUGAACAUGUAUAAUAAAGGGAGAAAAACCAAAGAAGCCUACCACAUUACAACACCUGGAAGACGCUACUCAUAAGCAAAUUGAAAAGACAAUGGUCCGCGCAGGGAGAAUUACAAACAUCAAAAUGAUGCAAAAGUUAUUUAGGAAUGGUAAUAAAUAAUUUAACAUUUAUCCGUCAGAUUGCCACAGAAACCUAUAGCCAAGGGAGCAUUAACCUUAUUGGAAACACAAUUUCAAUAUCAGAAUAACUCAGGAAUCAAACCAAACUGAAAAGAAAUACAGAGACAAUAAAUCAUUAACACACUGGCCUCAAUCAAUUUAUAUAAAUAAAAUAUAAAAUGUGAGUUUUCAUUUCAUUCUUUCUUCAUCAGAUAUUGCACAAUACUAUGAUGAGGGAGAUUCAACACAAAAAUAAAUAAAUAAAAUGCCAACUCAGAUAAUAAAUUUAGCAUUCUAGGAGCUACCCAGGGAUUUUCAAGGCACAUCCAUAAAGGCUUGAAGAACAAUUAAGAAUGCAACAAAUUGGGAGUGUAAGGAGGCUAUAGAAAUAAACCGAUAAAAUCAUCAACCAAAUAAUCAAUUCAAAAAUAAAUGAGGCCAACCGGUAAAUAUAGUAGGCCUCAACAAUAAAGGCAAGAACAAUAUAAUCAAUAAUUGAACAAAACUUGUCAAAUCAAAUAAAAUAAAUAAAUAAAUAUAGCAAACUGCUAAAUAGUCCCACCAAAAUAUAAAACUUCCUAACAAUCCCAUUAAAAUAUAAAAUUACUUACCAAACUUCCUAUUACUAGGAAAGAAAUAAUUAUUCUUGAGAUGCCCUUCUGUCCAAGAUGGAUUGGAUCAAGGUCAGGACUCAGGCUAUGCGAGAACAUAAACUGCACCACAAACAGCCACAAACAUUCUGAGAGAUUGCAUCAUUUACAGUAACGAUCGGCCUUCUUCUUCACUCGGUCGUCGAGGGCAUCCUCCAUAGAUUUGAAAUUUGAUUUUUCAUUAUAACCGAAUUUCUUGGCCUCCACGGGGAAGAGCUCCUCGUACUGGAGGCGCUUCGCCGCAUCGAUUGUGUAAACCUCGCCUGCAGCGCCACCAUCGCCGCCAGUUUCAGUAUUCUCUGUCUCUACCUCGGCAGCGGAGGAUAUAUUUGUUUCAUCCUUAAUCUUGUUCUUUUUCUUCUUCUUCUUCUUGUCGAUGGCUUUGCUGGUGGUGGCGACGCUUCCUCCCUUGAAGGUGAGUCUCCCUCCUUUCACUUUCUCAUAUGGAUUCGACAUCGCAUUGCACAGCCCUUGGCGGCAU
rnacentral:misc_RNA from 1 species